AGUGAACGCUGGCGGUAGGCCUAACACAUGCAAGUCGAACGGCAGCACAGUAAGAGCUUGCUCUUACGGGUGGCGAGUGGCGGACGGGUGAGGAAUACAUCGGAAUCUACUUUUUCGUGGGGGAUAACGUAGGGAAACUUACGCUAAUACCGCAUACGACCUACGGGUGAAAGCAGGGGAUCUUCGGACCUUUCGCGAUUGAAUGAGCCGAUGUCGGAUUAGCUAGUUGGCGGGGUAAAGGCCCACCAAGGCGACGAUCCGUAGCUGGUCUGAGAGGAUGAUCAGCCACACUGGAACUGAGACACGGUCCAGACUCCUACGGGAGGCAGCAGUGGGGAAUAUGGGACAAUGGGCGGAAGCCUGAUCCAGCCAUACCGCGUGGGUGAAGAAGGCCUUCGGGUUGUAAAGCCCUUUUGUUGGGAAAGAAAAGCAGCAGGUUAAUACCCCGCUGUUCUGACGGUACCCAAAGAAUAAGCACCGGCUAACUUCGUG
rnacentral:rRNA from 1 species